rnacentral:rRNA from 1 species
CGUUGCGAUCAUACCAGCACUAAUGCACCGGAUCCCAUCAGAACUCCGCAGUUAAGCGUGCUUGGGCGAGAGUAGUACUAGGAUGGGUGACCCCCUGGGAAGUCCUCGUGUUGCAACCCC